rnacentral:rRNA from 1 species
AUACGUAGGGGGCGAGCGUUGUCCGGAAUGAUUGGGCGUAAAGGGCGCGUAGGCGGCCUGUUAAGUCUGGAGUGAAAGUCCUGUUUUCGAGAUGGGAAUUGCUUUGGAUACUGAUGGGCUUGAGUGCAGGAGAGGUUAUCGGAAUUCCCGGUGUAGCGGUGAAAUGCGUAGAGAUCGGGAGGAACACCAGUGGCGAAGGCGGGUAACUGGACUGCAACUGACGCUGAGGCGCGAAAGUGUGGGGAGCAAACAGGAUUAGAUACCCUGGUAGUCCACACUGUAAACGAUGAAUGCUAGGUGUAAGAGGUAUCGACCCCUUUUGUGCCGGAGUUAACACAAUAAGCAUUCCGCCUGGGGAGUACGGCCGCAAGGUUGAAACUCAAAUGAAUUGACGGGG